rnacentral:misc_RNA from 1 species
UUAAAAAAAAAAAAAAAAGAGGAAAUCAUAGCAGCUUUAAGUUCCAUAAUAAGAAGUAGAUAUUUGUGUACCGAUUGCCAACAACAGGGUGAAGCUUGACUAUGGUUUGUUCUUCGGUCGUGGAGAACUGAACAUGCUUGAGAUCAGGACGAAGAUAAUUAGUCCACCGGAGCCUGCAGCUCUUCCCACAUCUUUGGAGACCUUAAAUCACGCAAACGAACUGAAUAAUACAUGCACUUAAUUGUGUAUAUUAUUGAGCAAGACAAGACAAAACAAACCAGCAUUCUUGGGGAUCAGUCGCCAAUUACGGGUGCCGUGUAGGGCGAUAUAAGGAGAGA